CGGCGCGGCGCCCCCGUCGGCGGCCAUUUCGCGCGGCACCGGGGGCCGCGCCGGCCUCCGCAAGCGCCGUGCUCGGGCGUCAGCGCGCCCAGGCCGCGGAGCCGGUUGCCCGCAGGUCUGCCUUACCUUGGAGGCUGCUUUUAGUAGCACUCUAGCCUCAAAAGCACAGAGGCAUCCAGCGCGCGCCAAUGAAAAGGAAGGGAACAAAUCGGCGGCCUAGCUGUGCUGCUCGGGGCUAGCGGAGAGAGAGGCUGCACAUGAACUUUUUCUCGGGCAGUGCCAGGUGAAGCAGCCGCUGCCCUCCUUGCUGUACCGGCGUACCUGUUCAUGGAACUGGCAAACUGAUUCCCAUUUUCUUUACUGCAUAAUUUUUCAGGAAGAUCAAUUCACCAGUCUGAUUCAGUGCACAACUCCAAGACAGAGAGGGUGACAGAAAGACAGGAACAGCCAAGGUUGAAAGAGGAGUAUGGCGUCUACUUCAGCCAACCUAAGGUUCAGCAUUGAUCCAGAUUUUAUCUCAGUAAAUGCCAUUUCAAACAUUUGCUAGCAAGUCAAGCAACACUUCAUACAAUUCAUUUAGGAAGUCUGCUUUCAUAAACCCAAGUUUGCACUACAUAAAUAGUACCUUGUUAAAAUGCUGCUCCAAAAACAUCUGUUCUUCAAGAGUUUAGCACCAAAUUGUUCUCCCUGUUGGCCCAGUUGCAUGUAAGUGCCAUGGAUAGAUAGAUACAUAUGCAAGCCAGAAA